rnacentral:lncRNA from 1 species
UGCAAUGCCAAUUGCGCCAUCCGACAAACAUCUUUCUCUUCUUGCACCACCACAUCCUGGUGAUGGUGCAACUGUAUACGUGUCUGUACCUAUGUUGCAAUAACUAACCCUAAGUAUAAAAGCCCACGCUCUGCCUCAUCCCGGCAGAGUGAUCCCGGCAGUGUACUCCCCAACAAGUGGUAAAUACAAGUUUCCUUAUAAUCUACUCAGUGUUUAUGUGUUAGUGUUAGUUCAGUAUAAGUGUAACUUCAGUGUAAGUGCAUAUUGUGAUCCAAUUAUCACACUGUCAUCUUGCCUAAACAUGUUCCAGUUUUUUGGGGGCCAAGUAAAAAAGUAAAAGAAAUUCAAAACAGAGAAUGUAUACAAACGAUAUAAAUUCCAUAAUAGAGGAAUAUGGGGCUUUCCCUAAACUGCAAAAGCGAAAGUCGAAACGUGAAACGCCUAAAAAAAGAAACAGCUUGCCAAACGGACCAAACUGUUGGGACCCUGUUUCGCAUUUUAGUUGUUGUUACCGUGCUAAACUUUGGUGGCGCGAAACAUCAUGACAUGAGAACUUCCUUGUAACAGACGAUGACGCCAUAAACAAACUUAAAGUCACUAAAAGCGCCCUUGAGAUAAGUUUAUCUUAGUUUCUUUUUUUUAAAUAAAUUAAUUAAAGGAUAUUAAAGUCUCGUGUAUUUAUUUAAAGUAUUACUACUCUCUCAGAAAUAUGUCGGUAGUUUUACCGAGUAAAAUCUCGGUAAUAAACGUCCAGACAAUAUUUUGUCGGGAUUUUUUGUAUCAAGAUUUAAAAUCGCUACCAUUGUCGAUUAGCGCCUUUCUGUUUUUGCUUUCCCGUUUUCAGACCGGAUAUACUCGCCCCUCUCAUUUUUUUGUCCCAAGUUCUAUCUGGGUUUUAAUGCCUACUCAGGGUUAGAGAGGGAGAGAUCCGAAAACUAAAUUUCCACCCACUCCCGAUCCUAAGAUUUUAAAAUUAUAUUUUCUUUUCUCUUCUACUCCGUUCCUCUCUUACUUUACAUAUCCAAUUGUUGUUUUAACCAUUUUGUGGGGAUUGAAAAAAGUAUCAAGAAAAAUCGAAAUCCUGUAAAAAUUAAACCAUAGUUAGUAAGGGGGGGGGGAUAUUGAUAUAGCUGGUAUAAUAAUAGGCAGACGUAGUUUUAUCUUGCUUUAUAAAACGAUGAAGGCAGUUUAAAUGACCUAAUUUGACCUAACAUAACGCUGUCUACAUUUUUUACUUCGAAUUUAUUUACCCCAUUAAAUUUAUUUACCCAUAAUUAAUUCCCCCUUUUACCCUGUGUUGUGUACUUAAUCUAUGUUUAGUUGUCUUCCUUUUUCCAUUUCUUUAAUCAACCGCCGGCCAAAAGAGGAAAGGCGACAAUUUUAAUUUGUAUGCCUCUUUUUUUCUUCAUCAAUACCACAAUUGAUUAUCGGUAUUCUUAAAGUAGGUUUUUUUGGAAAAAAAUUAUCAAACAACGACAUCUAUCUCGGCAAUAUUUUACCGAGAUUUGAUCUCAGAAUUUUUUAACGACAUAUUUCAUGGGUAGUAAUUUCAUGUGAUUCGCAUUUAGUAUUCUGACACCGCCAUGCUUCCUGAACGUAAGUAACUUCCUCGGUUUAACAAUCUUAUUUUAUGAUCUGCCGAGUCUCGUUCGUAUGAAUUUGCCAAUUUGACGAUUUCAAUUUAUUAUUGAUUCCUCAUCUGAUUUUUAAUAUAUUGUUUCCAUGCUUUCACCUUUUUUGCUAACUAAUCUAUGCUUUUUUAUUUAAAUAAUGCAGUCAUGAUUGAUGUGACUUCAUGAAACCAGGAGUCCGGUGCGGAGGAUAAUGCGUCAAUAGACCAUUGCGACAGUGGCACAAAAUUAGCCAUACUAUAGAGGGACUUGGCAACGCAUAGUAGACAGCUUGUGUGAAUCAAAUCAAAACAAAAAUAAGAGUUAGUCUACUUUGCCAAACAAAACAAAAACCCCUUCUUCAUGAUUAUAAAGUGGAUUUCGCUAUUCAAGUAUUCAGGCAACGUGGAAAGUUCUGCUAGUAUGGAGCUCUAAAUGCUUCCCUCAAUCAUCAAAGAUUUUUACGAGAUUACACAUGUGAAAAGAAGUCAAACCCAUUUCGAUGCCGAAGAACUGUCGAAAAAUGGAUAUUCCAGCACCCUCAGUUUAUACACCAAAGAAAAGGAAGUGUCAGUGCGAGCAAAGGUCUCUCUAAUUUGGAGAGCACAUCAAUGUCAACCAAGUCUUGAGCCAAACUGAUUGGUUGACACAACUACUCGACGUGGAAGUUCAAGGUGGCCAUGUUGUGCAGCUGAAAGGUUCAUUGGAAACUCCCCCUACAGCAGUUCCUAUGCAGCCUUUCAAGAGCAAGAAAACUGAAAUCCUGUGAAGAAUUCAUCAGAAAAAGCAAAUAAAGAGGAGCUGUUAGUUGCUGAGCCAAUCGGUGUAACCUUGGUUCAGAUAAACCCCCCUAAGUGUUGAAGAUGAUUCUACUGUUACGAAGACGGAAGAUACUGCUAGCUGAUUAAGAAACCGACGAAGAAGAAAGUCUUGUCUCGUUAUGUGGAGUCAUUGAGCACAGCGGUCGGCUCAGUAGUUACCACAACACAGCUUUCUUAUAAGUAAAACCAGUAACAUCGCAUCCAUUAACCCAGCUUCAAAUGUCGCUUAAUACAA